UCUCCGUUGGUGAACCAGCGGAGGGAUCAUUACCGAGGUUACAACUCCCAAACCCCUGUGAACAUACCAUUUGUUGCCUCGGCGGUGCCUGCUUCGGCAGCCCGCCAGAGGACCCAAACCCUUGAUUUUAUACAGUAUCUUCUGAGUAAAUGAUUAAAUAAAUCAAAACUUUCAACAACGGAUCUCUUGGUUCUG
rnacentral:misc_RNA from 1 species